rnacentral:rRNA from 1 species
AGUGAACGCUGGCGGUAGGCCUAACACAUGCAAGUCGAACGGCAGCACAGUAAGAGCUUGCUCUUACGGGUGGCGAGUGGCGGACGGGUGAGGAAUACAUCGGAAUCUACUUUUUCGUGGGGGAUAACGUAGGGAAACUUACGCUAAUACCGCAUACGACCUACGGGUGAAAGCAGGGGAUCUUCGGACCUUGCGCGAUUGAAUGAGCCGAUGUCGGAUUAGCUAGUUGGCGGGGUAAAGGCCCACCAAGGCGACGAACCGUAGCUGGUCUGAGAGGAUGGGCAGCCACACUGGAACUGAGACACGGUCCAGACUCCUACGGGAGGCAGCAGUGGGGAAUAUUGGACAAUGGGCGCAAGCCUGAUCCAGCCAUACCGUGUGGGUGAAGAAGGCCUUCGGGUUGUAAAGCCCUUUUGUUGGGAAAGAAAAGCAGCAGGUUAAUACCCCGCUGUUCUGACGGUACCCAAAGAAUAAGCACCGGCUAACUUCGUG